rnacentral:siRNA from 1 species
GGAUAACGCGAUUUAGUGGAGUCA